GAGGCGUGGCAGACGGGUGAGUAACGCGUGGGAACAUACCUUUUGGUUCGGAACAACACAGGGAAACUUGUGCUAAUACCGGAUAAGCCCUUACGGGGAAAGAUUUAUCGCCGAAAGAUUGGCCCGCGUCUGAUUAGCUAGUUGGUGAGGUAACGGCUCACCAAGGCGACGAUCAGUAGCUGGUCUGAGAGGAUGAUCAGCCACAUUGGGACUGAGACACGGCCCAA
rnacentral:rRNA from 1 species